rnacentral:rRNA from 1 species
CACGGUGGAUGCCUUGGCACCAGGAACCGAAGAAGGACGUAGGAAUCUGCGAUAAGCCUCGGGGAGUCGAUAACCAGACUGUGAUCCGAGGAUUUUCCGAAUGGGGAAACCCGGCUGGAGGCAAGUCCAGUCACCCCUGUCUGAACACAUAGGGCAGGUGGAGGGAACGUGGGGAAGUGAAACAUCUCAGUACCCACAGGAAGAGAAAGCAACCGCGAUUCCGUGAGUAGUGGCGAGCGAAAGCGGAAGAGGCCAAAACCGUGCAUGUGUGAUAGCUGUCAGGCGUUGCAUGCGCGGGGUUGAGGGAUCUCUUGGUCGGCUCUGACAGGCCGACAUGGAGUCAAAAAUUCGCGUUAUAGUCGAAGGGCAUUGAAAGGCCCGGCACAGAGGGUGCAACCCCCGUAGACGAAAUGACGCGAACUCCAUAGAGACAUCCCAAGUAGCACGGGGCCCGAGAAAUCCCGUG